rnacentral:rRNA from 1 species
GCAAAGGUAGCAUAGUCAUUAGUUCUUUAAUUGUGAUCUGGUAUGAAUGGCUUGACGAGGCAUGGGCUGUCUUAAUUUUGAAUUGUUUAUUGAAUUUGGUCUUUGAGUUAAAAUUCUUAGAUGUUUUUAUGGGACGAGAAGACCCUAUAGAGUUUAACAUUUGUUAUGGUCCCCUUUCUGUUUGUGAGGGUUCAUUAGGCCGUUUAAUAUGUUUUGUUGGGGUGAUGGGAGGGAUUAAUUUAACCCCUCCUUUUAUUAUUAUAUUUAUUUAUAUUUACUUGAUCCAUUUAUUUUGAUUGUAAGAUUAAAUUACCUUAGGGAUAACAGCGUUAUCUUCCUUGAGAGUUCUUAUCGGCAGGGGGGUUUGCG